rfam:Ornithorhynchus anatinus chromosome 2, whole genome shotgun sequence.
AGCAGCGUGGCUCAGUGGAAAGAGCCCGGGCUUGGGAGUCAGAGGUCGUGGGUUCGAAUCCCAGCUCUGCCA